rnacentral:lncRNA from 1 species
GAAUGAAGAGAGCACCCAGACACGCAAGAGAGGUGGAGGUAUGCAUGAGCUGAAGGAGGUAGACAUGCUGUCUGCAAAGCUAGACCUACUCAUGAAGAAGCUCGACGAUAGAGCUGGAGACAAGAAAGAAGUUAUGCACAUCUACGACUCUCACAUGACUUGUGAGGAGUGUGGAGAUACUGGACACUCAGGCAACCACUGCCCUGAGAUGCUUGAGGAUGUGAACUACAUCAACAAUAACAACAACAACUACUACAACCGUCCUCAACAAAAUCAAGGUUGGAAUCAACAGAGGCCUAACUACUCAGGUAAUUAUCAAGGUAACAAUUCUUACAACAAUAAUAAUAAUUUUCCACCUUUGAGAGAGUUAGUGUCUAAUCAAGGAAAGCUAAUGGAUAACCUAUCUAAGAAGUUGGCAUCUAAUGAUAAAAUGCUAGAAAAUAUAAAUAAUAGAAUGGAUAAUUUCUCUACUGCCAUCAAGAAUCAAAUUAGCUUUAAUAAAAUGAUUGAAUCCCAGUUAAAUCAAAUAGCUGUUGCUGUUCCUACUACUAACCCCGGUAUACCAUCACAACCGGAAGGAUUAGAAUCUACAAAUCUUGUAGACAUGUUUGAUGCAGGUAGUAAUUGGAGUAACCCCGUCACUGAAUUCUCUACUGACCUCCUGCCGGUCAAGAGUGGCGAUCCAGGACGCCCCGUCAUCCCGAUCUCCAUCGGCAUGGUGGACGUUCCAGAAGCACUCUGUGACUUUGGCUCUAGUGUCAACAUUAUACCCAGGGUACUCUAUGAAAAAUUGUUUACAUAUCCUUUAUUAGAAACAACCAUGUGUUUGCAGUUUGCAGAUCAGACGAUAACUUUUCCAAAAGGAAUAUUGAAGAACCUUUGCGUCUGAGUUGGUACCUUGUAUGCCCUAGCAGACUUCGUAGUGGUAGAGACCGGAAAUGAUGAGAGAGCACCUAUCAUCCUAGAGAGGCCAUUCUUAAACACCACGGGAGCUAUCAUCUACGCUAGAGCUGCCAAGAUCAGUUUCUACGUCAAAGGGAGGAAGGAGACAUUUUUCUUCAAGAACAAGAUUACACAAAUUCCAAAUCAAUCCAGACGUGAAUGAAGGAAGAGGACCAACAGGAGGAACAGGAACAAGCAAGUGUGGACCGAGUUAGCUAAGAUGGUCACUGUAGUUCAUGGAGGCCAAGAUCUUCAACUUAAGUCACCGCUUUUGACCAAGAAGGACGACCCAGGAAUGCCAAGCAUUUACUGCUCCAUAAAUGGAUACAACUUCUACCAGACGACUUGUGACACCGGAUCGGGCGUCAACAUAAUGGCCGCAGUCACCUAUCGGCUCUUGUUCGGGACCAUGCCCCUAAGACCAACAUACAUUCAGCUCCAGAUGGCAGAUCAAACAUUUCGAGAGGUUAAAGGAAUAGUAACUGAUGUCCCAGUCAAAAUAGACGAUCAUUUUGUCUACACAGACUUUCAAGUUAUUGACAUGGGAGAAGACGAGUAUGAUCCACCCAUCAUCCUUGGAAGACCGUUCCUCAGUACUGUUAAAGCAAUUAUCUACAUUGGAACCGGAGAAGACCAUAUGCACUUCCCCCCAGAGAAGGUACGCCAUUAUUUUACGGACCCUAACUAUAUCGUUGAAAAAUCUAAGCAGGUCAGAAAGAGACGCAACCACAACCAGAGGAGGGAAAUCAUCAAGGACGGAUGGGCAGACUACGAAGGAGAAGUUGCAAGGUCAAAAGACAUACAGUUUAAACAAAAUUAUCUAGAGGAGACCGUAGCACCGAGUCAGGUAUGGAAAGAGAAGAUAACUAUACAUGAAGAAGAGGCGCCGCCGGAAGUACCGACUCCGUCACCCAACGAAUCCCAGGACAAUUGUGAAAACGGAGAGUCCCGUUCGGAGGACUUAAAAACACCGAAUGCCUUGCCAAGAGGUAAACUUGGUAGUUAUCCUUUCCCUUUCCAUUAUUUCAAAUAGUUUACUUAGUUAAUCAUGUCCGUACUAUCUUAAAAAGAAAAUAAAAAUAUGAAAAACAAUAAGCCCCAUGUGAGUAUACGAGUGGCAUAAAAACCCGUAAGUACAUUCACUGUGGUGGCAUAAAAAUAAAAUAAAUAUUUCUUUUCUACUUUAUAAAAUGAAAAUAUAAAAACAGGGAGUAAUAAUUAUUAAGGAGUCUCAACAUGAUAAGGGCUAGAUAUUUAUGCUAACACUUAAUCAGUUCCACAAGCUUUGUUGUCUAUUUGAGCUCCACAGAAUUAAGAGGACUAGCAGACGGAGGACAUUCUAAUCGCUGUCAGAAUGCUGCUGACUUUCAAAUACACUUCUGCCACCUGCUAGCUACAUCAAGAGAAAUUACGUCAAAAUUCAGCUUGGGGAGAGCACCCCCAUUUAUCUCGAUAAGUAUUUCUAUCUAUCUAUCUUUAUACUUAUAUUAUUUUAGAAUAUAAAUAUACAUAACCAUGGAAAAAUCAAAUAAGGAUUUUAUGCUUAUAUAUAUAUAUCUUUUGCUUAGUGUGUUUAAUAAAUAAAUAAAGUGGCUAUGCUAAUCUGUAUCUAAAUAAAACUCAAGCAUGGAUAUGAUGAAUAGUUGCUCUACCUAAUUUGCACAUUUGAAGUUCUCUCUCAAGUUUAGACAUAACUGUUAUAAUUUAAAGUUUGCUCUAGACCUAAACUUGUGGGAUGAAAACUUGAUCGAAAGUCUAAGUUGUUAACGGAUACGAUAUGGGAAGGUUGAGCUACUGUUUAUCUGUUCCUAGAGAUGCUAGAAUUCUGGAGAAUUUUAUCUUUGAAAAUCUUUAAAAUGUUGCAUGAUGAGUUCCUGUAUGAUGAGAGUUUAAAUUCCUACCACAGCCAUAUAUACAUGCUUGCUAGACUUUGAGCCACACAUUUACUAUUUACUGCUUAUGAGCAUUGAAUGUGGUCAAGCUGUGUAGACCCUUAGGAGCUUGUCAUGUGGUUAAAUCAAGAUUUCACUUGCACGUUCACUCAUAUAUGCUACUUCUACUCCGGAAGUAUCAUCCACAUAUAUCCACUCGUUUCCAUCUCCAGAAUCACCCAAAAAUAUUCUACUCCUAAUCCGGGAAAGAAUAACCAAAAAUAUUUCUGUUUUCCCUUGUGAAAUAAAUGCUCAAGUUAUCUUGUUACUACCACUUGCUAUAUUAUCUCAAGAGAUGAGUGCUCUAAAAAAAGAAAAAAAUACGAGGAAAUAAAAAGGAGCAAGUGCUCGGAACCUCGAAAGAAAAGAAAAAAAAAGUGAGACGAGAGGUAAAAAUGGACAAGUGUCCGACAGUAGAAUUAGGGGUACAAGAUACCCACCUGAGAGGAAAGAAAAAGAAGAGCAUCUCAUUCUCCUUAUAAAGUUUCAAAAAGCAAGGAAGGUAUUAUCCCCUCAAAAGAGCAAAGUAGAAUUAGACUUCCACCACCAUUGUUUCCACCAUUGUUAUCACCAUCAUCACCAUAUACCAUUCAUUCGCAAAACAUGCACAUCUUGAUUUGGGUUAUUGAUUUGUUUCUUUGGAUCCAUGGUUUGACUAUACGAUAAAUGUCUUGUGAGUAUGUAUACUUUAUCUCCCACCUAUGAGCUCUAGAUAUUAAAGCCUUUUUAGAAGUAGGGUGAGAGAUAAGAUAAUGUCACUAUGCUUCAUACCACAAAUACCACAUAUCUUGAGAGAAGGCAUAUACCAUCACUGCCUUGGUAAGGAUCCAGAAAUACCACAAAAGAGAGAUCUGAGAGAAUCAUACAAGGAAUCUCUGAGUUUUAUUUGAAAAUCUGCAAAAACUCCAGAGCUAUAGCUGAUCAAGAAUAAGAGACAUGGCACUUGGCUAGACUGUUCUAUCUUUUAACUACUCAAGACAGAAGUGACAGUUACAAGUCCCAUGGUGAAGGUAAAGUAAGUAAGUUUUAAGUCUUGACAGUUUACUCUAACUCAGAGAUGAGAUCUUAUUUAAAAAAAGCAUGUGUACCGUCAAUUUUUAAGAUAUUGCAACAACCUAUGAUCCAUAGCUGAGUCUAUCCUUGCUUAGGGACGAGCAAGAGGUAAGCUUGGGGGAGUUUGUUGAUGGUCCUUAAGUAUCAAAUUUAAUUAUCAAAUAAAUAAAGAAAAGGAUCCAAAUGAAAUCAACAUCUAGACUACGGGUUUUACCUGACAGAAUUCCACGAGUUUUGGUGUUUGUCUAUUUCUGCAGGGGGUUCUCAGGAAAUACAGAAGAAAGGCCCACACGUCGGGAUUACAUAGAGAUAUUAACGUGCUGCGCAAUUAUCUUACAUCUAGAAGACUCCAGAAGCCACGAGACCGAAGCGGAGGCGAAACGGGGCCUGACCCUGGGCGCCCGCCUAGGUGAUCAGGGCGCCCGCCCACCUCCUGAGUCCUAUCAGUACUCUGCUUCGUGGGAGAUCUCCACCGACCUAAAGGAUGAAUCUAAACCAUACAAUCUAAGUCGGUUUGAUCCAACGGCCUAUAUUCACUUGAAGGGACUAUGAAACCAGACCCCCUGGCCCCUGGAGGAGAGAGCCUCUCAACCCUCAUUCAUUGUUCUUCAAGGGAGAAGAAGCCUCUGAUCAAGAUUAGAGCCACCACAUCAGUUAGAUAUCUAGAUUAGCAUAGCUACAUAGGAUUAGAACUAGAAGGAGUCAAUCUUCGAUUGGUUUCCGGAUCUGUCAAGAGGAUUCUUGGUAAUUCUCUAAUUGUGCUUCUAAUUAUCUUUGUUCUUCAAUAUUAUGAAUAUGACUUUGUUCUACUUCAAUAUAUUGCUUAUGACUUUGCUCUACUUGCUUAUAUUCAAGAUUAUAUUGUUCUUAGUUUAUCAUAGUUAUGUACUUGGCUUAGUUAGAUUGGAUCUAUAUACAUGCUUAGGAUCGUAUAGCAUUUAUCCAUCGGAUCCAUGGGUAAAUGAUAGAUAUUGUGUAGGCGUGGUGCUUAUACCGUAUUUAUCUGCGAUUGUACCCAAUAUGCCAGAUCGUGGGGUAGUUUGUGAUAGUGACAGCUUCAUUGAUUCUUAUAUAGUCCCCCUCUCGUGUAUUGGGCUGGCAGAGCAACAUUAUUACAGGGGAGUGAUUGCUAUGUUUCUCAUAUUCCUUGCUAAUAUCACUAUGCAUGGGCGUAGUCUUGUCUCACAAUGAUUGCUAAGUAUGCUUGCACUAACUAUGAUAAUGCUAGACUAUAUAGUUGAGAAUAACUUAGGGAAUAUUCUUGUAGUUCGUUCUAAUACCAUGCUAAUGACUUUCAAGAGUAUCUAAUUGAGGUGCUUAUUAUAUUUAUUAUGUGGCUAGAUCAGACUAAUUAUCUUUGUCACUAUUCAUUAUUUCAUAUAUCUUUUAUGUGACACUUAUCCCUGUAUGAAGAGUUAGAUAUAGUGUUCUCAAUUAUACAUGCAAUGAUAGAUGCUCAAUCUCAUAUUCUAUUCUGUAAUCAAUAGUGAUGAUUGCUAAUCCCUUCCCAGUGGUAAAAAUAUAAAUAACGAUACCUGGAAUACUUCCCUGUUAAAAUGCUACAUCGGUAUUAAUCUGUGCGCUUGCAGAUCCCAUUAAUUAUUUAUUUAGAAGAGCAAUUGCAUAUUUUAAUACCGCGUCUCUCAUGUCAUGCUGGGGAUGACAACUUGGCUUAAGUGGUGUGAGGGAUAGGUUUGGCAUUUUUGGCACCGUUACUAGAUUUAGAGAACUUAGUCUACUUUUGGUAAUGAUGUUAAGAAUACCCAACAAGCAUUUUUGGCGUCGUUGCCGGGGAAGGUUGAUUACUAAUAAGGAAUGGAAUAAAAGAUUUUGAGUUAUCAUUCGCAUCACUAAUAUGAUUGAGCUUAUCUAUUCUCUCGUACAGUUUUACCCCGAUAUUUUUCUAUUUUGUCUUAUGCAGGGGAAUGUAUGAAUAGAAGACAUCUUCCAGGAAAUUUUGUUGACAAUCCCGAAGCAUUAUUCAAGAAGACGAGAGCCAAGCUCAAGAAGAGAUCAUCAACACUUCAGCAAGAAGCUUCAUCCAAUCAAGAAGAUCACCGGAACUUGUCUUCAGAGUUCGAGGCCAUGGCGAACAAAUCAAUCCGCGAGUUCUCAGCUCCCACUACACACAACAUCCGCACUGGACCUACUGCAGAGAUCGAUGGCAACUUUGAGCUCAAGCCUGGACUUAUCAACAUGGUGCAAUCUAACCAGUUCUGUGGGAAGGCAUAUGAAGAUGCUAGUGCUCAUUUACAACACUUCCUGGAGAUUUGCAACACAUUCACCAUAUCAGGAGUUUCCAAAGAUGCUAUACUACUUCGCCUCUUCCCAUUCUCACUGUUAGGAAGAGCGAAGCAGUGGUUCCACGCUACAAAGGAGAAGAAUACUACGUGGGCACUCUGCUCAACAAACUUUCUGGCUAAGUUCUUUUCCAUGGGCAAGACCAAUGCUCUCUGUGGGAAGAUUACAAGUUUUCAGCAACAAAAUGAUGAAUCUAUUCCAGAAGCAUGGGAGCGCUUUCAAGACUACAUCCUAGAAUGUCCCCAUCAUGGAAUGGAGAGUUGGCUAUUGAUGCAGACAUUUUAUCAUGGACUCGGCAACAGUGCCCGAGAAACCAUGGAUGCUGCAGCUGGAGGAGCAUUCUUAUCACUUACUAUACCACAAGCCACAGCUCUUGUGGAGAAAAUGGCGUCCAACCAAAGCUGGAAUGAAGAGAGCACCCAGACACGCAAGAGAGGUGGAGGUAUGCAUGAGCUGAAGGAGGUAGACAUGCUGUCUGCAAAGCUAGACCUACUCAUGAAGAAGCUCGACGAUAGAGCUGGAGACAAGAAAGAAGUUAUGCACAUCUACGACUCUCACAUGACUUGUGAGGAGUGUGGAGAUACUGGACACUCAGGCAACCACUGCCCUGAGAUGCUUGAGGAUGUGAACUACAUCAACAAUAACAACAACAACUACUACAACCGUCCUCAACAAAAUCAAGGUUGGAAUCAACAGAGGCCUAACUACUCAGGUAAUUAUCAAGGUAACAAUUCUUACAACAAUAAUAAUAAUUUUCCACCUUUGAGAGAGUUAGUGUCUAAUCAAGGAAAGCUAAUGGAUAACCUAUCUAAGAAGUUGGCAUCUAAUGAUAAAAUGCUAUAAAAUAUAAAUAAUAGAAUGGAUAAUUUCUCUACUGCCAUCAAGAAUCAAAUUAGCUUUAAUAAAAUGAUUGAAUCCCAGUUAAAUCAAAUAGCUGUUGCUGUUCCUACUACUAACCCCGGUAUACCAUCACAACCGGAAGGAUUAGAAUCUACAAAUCUUGUAGACAUGUUUGAUGCAGGUAGUAAUUGGAGUAACCCCGUCACUGAAUUCUCUACUGACCUCCUGCCGGUCAAGAGAGGCGAUCCAAGAUGCCCCGUCAUCCUGAUCUCCAUCGGCAUGGUGGACGUUCCAGAAGCACUCUGUGACUUUGGCUCUAGUGUCAACAUUAUACCCAGGGUACUCUAUGAAAAAUUCUUUACAUAUCCUUUAUUAGAAACAACCAUGUGUUUGCAGUUUGCAGAUCAGACGAUAACUUUUCCAAAAGGAAUAUUGAAGAACCUUUGCGUCUGAGUUGGUACCUUGUAUGCCCUAGCAGACUUCGUAGUGGUAGAGACCGGAAAUGAUGAGAGAGCACCUAUCAUCCUAGAGAGGCCAUUCUUAAACACCACGGGAGCUAUCAUCUACGCUAGAGCUGCCAAGAUCAGUUUCUACGUCAAAGGGAGGAAGGAGACAUUUUUCUUCAAGAACAAGAUUACACAAAUUCCAAAUCAAUCUAGACGUGAAUGAAGGAAGAGGACCAACAGGAGGAACAGGAACAAGCAAGUGUGGACCGAGUUAGCUAAGAUGGUCACUGUAGUUCAUGGAGGCCAAGAUCUUCAACUUAAGUCACCGCUUUUGACCAAGAAGGACGACCCAGGAAUGCCAAGCAUUUACUGCUCCAUAAAUGGAUACAACUUCUACCAGACGACUUGUGACACCGGAUCGGGCGUCAACAUAAUGGCCGCAGUCACCUAUCGGCUCUUGUUCGGGACCAUGCCCCUAAGACCAACAUACAUUCAGCUCCAGAUGGCAGAUCAAACAUUUCGAGAGGUUAAAGGAAUAGUAACUGAUGUCCCAGUCAAAAUAGACGAUCAUUUUGUCUACACAGACUUUCAAGUUAUUGACAUGGGAGAAGACGAGUAUGAUCCACCCAUCAUCCUUGGAAGACCGUUCCUCAGUACUGUUAAAGCAAUUAUCUACAUUGGAACCGGAGAAGUCCAUAUGCACUUCCCCCCAGAGAAGGUACGCCAUUAUUUUACGGACCCUAACUAUAUCGUUGAAAAAUCUAAGCAGGUCAGAAAGAGACGCAACCACAACCAGAGGAGGGAAAUCAUCAAGGACGGAUGGGCAGACUACGAAGGAGAAGUUGCAAGGUCAAAAGACGUACAAUUUAAACAAAAUUAUCUAGAGGAGACCGUAGCACCGAGUCAGGUAUGGAAAGGGAAGAUAACUAUACAUGAAGAAGAGGCGCCGCCGGAAGUACCGACUCCGCCACCCAACAAAUCCUAGGACAAUUGUGAAAACGGGAAGUCCCGUUCGGAGGACUUAAAAACACCGAAUGCCUUGCCAAGAGGUAAACUUGGUAGUUAUCCUUUCCCUUUCCAUUAUUUCAAAUAGUUUACUUAGUUAAUCAUGUUCGUACUAUCUUAAAAAGAAAAUAAAAAUAUGAAAAACAAUAAGCCCCAUGUGAGUAUACGAGUGGCAUAAAAACCCGUAAGUACAUUCACUGUGGUGGCAUAAAAAUAAAAUAAAUAUUUCUUUUCUACUUUAUAAAAUGAAAAUAUAAAAAUAGGAGGAGUCUCAACAUGAUAAAGGCUAGAUAUUUAUGCUAACACUUAAUCAGUUCCACAAGCUUUGUUGUCUAUUUGAGCUCCACAGAAUUAAGAGGACUAGCAGACGGAGGACAUUCUAAUCGCUGUCAGAAUGCUGCUGACUUUCAAAUACACUUCUGCCACCUGCUAGCUACAUCAAGAGAAAUUACGUCAAAAUUCAACUUGGGGAGAGCACCCCCAUUUAUCUCGAUAAGUAUUUCUAUCUAUCUAUCUUUAUACUUAUAUUAUUUUAGAAUAUAAAUAUACAUAACCAUGGAAAAAUCAAAUAAGGAUUUUAUGCUUAUAUAUAUAUAUCUUUUGCUUAGUGUGUUUAAUAAAUAAAUAAAGUGGCUAUGCUAAUCUGUAUCUAAAUAAAACUCAAGCAUGGAUAUGAUGAAUAGUUGCUCUACCUAAUUUGCACAUUUGAAGUUCUCUCUCAAGUUUAGACAUAACUGUUAUAAUUUAAAGUUUGCUCUAGACCUAAACUUGUGGGAUGAAAACUUGAUCGAAAGUCUAAGUUGUUAACGGAUACGAUAUGGGAAGGUUGAGCUACUGUUUAUCUGUUCCUAGAGAUGCUAGAAUUCUAGAGAAUUUUAUCUUUGAAAAUCUUUAAAAUGUUGCAUGAUGAGUUCCUGUAUGAUGAGAGUUUAAAUUCCUACCACAGCCAUAUAUACAUGCUUGCUAGACUUUGAGCCACACAUUUACUAUUUACUGCUUAUGAGCAUUGAAUGUGGUCAAGCUGUGUAGACCCUUAGGAGCUUGUCAUGUGGUUAAAUCAAGAUUUCACUUGCACGUUCACUCAUAUAUGCUACUUCUACUCCGGAAGUAUCAUCCACAUAUAUCCACUCAUUUCCAUCUCCAGAAUCACCCAAAAAUAUUCUACUCCUAAUCCGGGAAAGAAUAACCAAAAAUAUUUCUGUUUUCCCUUGUGAAAUAAAUGCUCAAGUUAUCUUGUUACUACCACUUGCUAUAUUAUCUCAAGAGAUGAGUGCUCUAAAAAAAGAAAAAAAAUACGAGGAAAUAAAAAGGAGCAAGUGCUCGGAACCUCGAAAGAAAAGAAAAAAAAAGUGAGACGAGAGGUAAAAAUGGACAAGUGUCCGACAGUAGAAUUAGGGGUACAAGAUACCCACCUGAGAGGAAAGAAAAAGAAGAGCAUCUCAUUCUCCUUAUAAAGUUUCAAAAAGCAAGGAAGGUAUUAUCCCCUCAAAAGAGCAAAGUAGAAUUAGACUUCCACCACCAUUGUUUCCACCAUUGUUAUCACCAUCAUCACCAUAUACCAUUCAUUCGCAAAACAUGCACAUCUUGAUUUGGGUUAUUGAUUUGUUUCUUUGGAUCCAUGGUUUGACUAUACGAUAAAUGUCUUGUGAGUAUGUAUACUUUAUCUCCCACCUAUGAGCUCUAGAUAUUAAAGCCUUUUUAGAAGUAGGGUGAGAGAUAAGAUAAUGUCACUAUGCUUCAUACCACAAAUACCACAUAUCUUGAGAGAAGGCAUAUACCAUCACUGCCUUGGUAAGGAUCCAGAAAUACCACAAAAGAGAGAUCUGAGUGAAUCAUACAAGGAAUCUCUGAGUUUUAUUUGAAAAUCUGCAAAAACCCCAGAGCUAUAGCUGAUCAAGAAUAAGAGACAUGGCACUUGGCUAGACUGUUCUAUCUUUUAACUACUCAAGACAGAAGUGACAGUUACAAGUCCCAUGGUGAAGGUAAAGUAAGUAAGUUUUAAGUCUUGACAGUUUACUCUAACUCAGAGAUGAGAUCUUAUUUAAAAAAAGCAUGUGUACCGUCAAUUUUUAAGAUAUUGCAACAACCUAUGAUCCAUAGCUGAGUCUAUCCUUGCUCAGGGACGAGCAAGAGGUAAGCUUGGGGGAGUUUGUUGAUGGUCCUUAAGUAUCAAAUUUAAUUAUCAAAUAAAUAAAGAAAAGGAUCCAAAUGAAAUCAACAUCUAGACUACGGGUUUUAUCUGACAGAAUUCCACGAGUUUUGGUGUUUGUCUAUUUCUGCAGGGGGUUCUCAGGAAAUACAGAAGAAAGGCCCACACGUCGGGAUUACAUAGAGAUAUUAACGUGCCGCGCAAUUAUCUUACAUCUAGAAGACUCCAGAAGCCACGAGACCGAAGCGGAGGCGAAAUGGGGCCUGACCCUGGGCGCCCGCCUAGGUGAUCAGGGUGCCCGCCCACCUCCUGAGUCCUAUCAGUACUCUGCUUCGUGGGAGAUCUCCACCGACCUAAAGGAUGAAUCUAAACCAUACAAUCUAAGUCGGUUUGAUCCAACGGCCUAUAUUCACUUGAAGGGACUAUGAAACCAGACCCCCUGGCCCCUGGAGGAGAGAGCCUCUCAACCCUCAUUCAUUGUUCUUCAAGGGAGAAGAAGCCUCUAAUCAAGAUUAGAGCCACCACAUCAGUUAGAUAUCUAGAUUAGCAUAGCUACAUAGGAUUAGAACUAGAAGGAGUCAAUCUUC